ACGGUAAUGUAGGUGAAGAUCGUGAUUAGUCAGAUUCACAGCAGGUCCACCACACUACGUUGUCUACUUCUUCACGUAUCCCACCAGGAAUCGCUAUAAUGGGUCUUGCAAAAUUAAUUUCGUGUUUGUGUUUGGCACUCGUGACACAACAGUUCUUAGGAAACUAUGCGGAUGCGAUCGAAAUUGAUGGAUCAAUAUACGGCGGUCUCCGUUUAGGACUGCGAACAUCAUUAUUAGAUUUUUUCUCCCCUCGUCCAGCCUGCAUGGCAAGAUAUUCGCUAGUGUGUGGUUUCAUUUUUCGACCGCGUUGCUGCUGUAGUAACAUGUGUUGUUAAUACUUUUAUUGAUUUUUAAUAUCUUGUCUUAUAUGAACAAUAAAUGAAAAGUGCUAAUAAAUAUGAAAAGUAAUCUCUAUA